GAUGAACGCUGGCGGCGUGCCUAACACAUGCAAGUCAAGGAGAAGGUAACCUUCGGGGAACCGGAUACUGGCGCACGGGUGAGUAACACGUGGAUUAUCUACCCUUUACACAGACAUAACUCAGGGAAACUUGAGCUAAUAUCUGAUGAGGCCUCCGGGUCAAAGCUUCGGCGGUAAAGGAUGAGUCUGCGUCUGAUUAGCUAGUUGGUAAGGUAAUGGCUUACCAAGGCGACGAUCAGUAACUGGUCUGAGAGGACGAUCAGUCACACUGGAACUGAGACACGGUCCAGACUCCUACGGGAGGCAGCAGUGAGGAAUUUUGGACAAUGGGGGAAACCCUGAUCCAGCGACGCCGCGUGUGGGAUGAAUGGGUUAUGCCCUGUAAACCACUGUCAGCAGAGAAGAAAAGGUUCCUUUGGAACCCGGGACUGUAUCGC
rnacentral:rRNA from 1 species